AGAUUUCUCAGUUUGAUGGAUC
rnacentral:siRNA from 1 species